rnacentral:rRNA from 1 species
GAUCAUGGCUCAGGACGAACGCUGGCGGCGUGCCUAACACAUGCAAGUCGAACGGAACUGUUUUGAAAGAUUUCUUCGGAAUGAAUUUGAUUUAGUUUAGUGGCGGACGGGUGAGUAACGCGUGAGUAACCUGCCUUCAAGAGGGGGGAUAACAUUCUGAAAAGGAUGCUAAUACCGCAUGACAUAUCGGAACCACAUGGUUUUGAUAUCAAAGAUUUUAUCGCUUGAAGAUGGACUCGCGUCCGA